AUGAACGCUGGCGGCGUGCCUAAUACCUGCAAGUCGAGCGAACGGACGAGAAGCUUGCUUCUCUGAUGUUAGCGGCGGACGGGUGAGUAACACGUGGAUAACCUACCUAUAAGACUGGGAUAACUUCGGGAAACCGGAGCUAAUACCGGAUGAUAUUUUGAACCGCAUGGUUCAAAGGUGAAAGACGGUCUUGCUGUCACUUAUAGAUGGAUCCGCGCUGCAUUAGCUAGUUGGUAAGGUAACGGCUUACCAAGGCAACGAUGCAUAGCCGACCUGAGAGGGUGAUCGGCCACACUGGAACUGAGACACGGUCCAGACUCCUACGGGAGGCAGCAGUAGGGAAUCUUCCGCAAUGGGCGAAAGCCUGACGGAGCAACGCCGCGUGAGUGAUGAAGGUCUUCGGAUCGUAAAACUCUGUUAUUAGGGAAGAACAUAUGUGUAAGUAACUGUGCACAUCUUGACGGUACCUAAUCAGAAAGCCACGGCUAACUACGUG
rnacentral:rRNA from 1 species